rnacentral:rRNA from 1 species
CCUACGGGUGGCAGCAGUAGGGAAUUUUGCUCAAUGGGGGAAACCCUGAUGCAGCGACGCCGCGUGAGUGAAGAAGUAUUUCGGUACGUAAAGCUCUAUCAGCAGAGAAGAAAAAAGACGGUAGCAGCUUAAGACGCCUCGGCUAACUACGAGCCAGCAGCCGCGGUAAUACGUAGGGGGCAAGCGUUAUUCGGACUUACUGGGCGUAAGGGGAGCGUAGACGGCGCGGCAAGUCUGAAGUGAAAGGCAGGGGCUUAACCCCUGAACGUCUUUGGAAACUGCCAUGCUAGAGUGCUGGAGAGGUGAGUGGAAUUCCUAGUGUAGCGGUGAAAUGCGUAGAUAUUAGGAGGAACACCAGUGGCGAAGGCGGCUUACUGGACUGUAACUGACGUUGAGGCUCGAAAGCGUGGGGAGCAAACAGGAUUAGAUACCCUGGUAGUC